GUUCAGAGCUGGGAGCAGAGCCUAAAGAGACUGCAGUGAAGCUGCAGUUUGGGGCAGGGAACGGUGCUCUUUGGGUAUGGUCCUGCACCCAGCACUAUGUAGGGGUUUUUCUCCAGGCUGGGGUGAGCAGAGGGGGAGUCCCCUGUCCCAUGCCUCCCUCUGUCCUGAGCAUAUCUUCCUGCUCAGCUUCUGAGACAGACCUGAUGGCGUUGCAGGCUUUUGAGCAGAAGCUGGUAUUGUCCUUUAAAGUUCUUCAAGGCAGCGUAUGGUUCUUACGAGCAGUGUGUGCAGUUAGCACACAGUCUGCAUUCUUCCCUCCUUGCAAGGUGCCUGGUAUUUCCACUUCGUGCAAGUCUGGUCCUGCUGCAGCUUCACACAGCUCUGCAGACCUCCUCCCACAGGCUGGAAGACUUAAAAGGGUGUUUUGCUGAGCCAGGCGCUGUUCAGAGGGUGCUCUGCAGAGGAGGGGGUAAAGCGGCAACGGCAUCAAACGAGCUCCUAGCGGCUGCCCCCGGCCCCUCACAGCGCCUGGCCCCGGGCUUUCAGCUCGCGGGGCCGUCAGGCGAGGCUGGAGGGGCUGAGGGCAAACGCGGACUGGCGCUGAGGAGAAACAAACAAACAAAAACUAAGCUUUUUCUCUGAGAGAGAAGCUGGUGUGGCUUAGGGGGCACAAAGGGCAUUGUCUCAGGGAAACGCCGAGUGACAGCUCUGAAGUGCAACUUCAGCCUCAACUCAGGGCCAUGUUGUCUCUGGAGGAAGGCUGCAGAAGGAUCACCAGCACUUCCCACUGAGCACGGGCCGGAGUUUUCUUCAGCAGCGAAGCUGGCGGAGAAGGAGGGAAGAGUUGUGGUGUGGAGCUGUGAGGCAGAAGAGGAGCGGAGGACUGAUGAGGAGCACAGGGACCCUCCUGUCACCAGGCCUGGGUGCAUAGAAGAUGACAGCCGACACCUGCAAUGCCUUGUCUGCAGCUGAGCUGGUGGAGGAGGAAGAAAGAAGAUGCAUGAUGCUGAGCCGUGAGGCCAGAGCGAGUCAAGAAGUCUUUUCUGUGUCCUGAAGAAAAGGUGUUCUCAAGCUGUGAGUGAUGCCUAGAGCAAAUGCCAUACCCCAUGCUGCUGUAGCUCGCGCCAGUAUCUGUGAGGGGAGGCAGGGGCCUUGCACGAGCAGUGGCAGCUCACAUCGAGGAGGCCUGGAGCAGCCCUGCUGUCUUUGUGCCCUCACGGGCACCUAGAGGCCUUAGAAACAACGUGUAUCCUAGGAGCAUGUAAAGAUGGAUUCCAAUGAUGUCUGCCUUGCAAGAAGACUCCAAAGACAACCAUCAAAAUAUCCAAAACCCAGUUGUGGAUGAGAGGACACAAAUCCCUCGGGUUUGUUAGUGAAGCAGUGAUUGAUUUGAAAAUACAGGAACGCAUGGAAUGUUCAGGCCGUAAAGUAGGU